UACGUAGGCGGAAAAUUAAGUCAGUAGUGAAAUCCUGCAGCGUAACUGUAGAACUGUUAUUGAUACUGGUUUUCUUGAAUAUAGUUGAGGUAGGCGGAAUGUGUAAUGUAGCGGUGAAAUGCUUAGAUAUUACACAGAACACCGAUUGCGAAGGCAGCUUACUAAGCUAUGAUUGACGCUGAGGUACGAAAGCGUGGGGAGCGAACAGGAUUAGAUACCCUGGUAGUCC
rnacentral:rRNA from 1 species